CCUACGGGGGGCUGCAGUGGGGAAUAUUGCACAAUGGGCGAAAGCCUGAUGCAGCAACGCCGCGUGAGGGAAGACGGUCUUCGGAUUGUAAACCUUUGUUAUUGGUGAAGAAACAAAUGACGGUAGCCAAUGAGGAAGCUCCGGCUAACUACGUGCCAGCAGCCGCGGUAAUACGUAGGGAGCGAGCGUUGUCCGGAAUUACUGGGUGUAAAGGGAGCGUAGGCGGGAAGGCAAGUCAGCUGUGAAAUACAUGGGCUUAACCCAUGGACUGCAGUUGAAACUGUUUUUCUUGAGUGAAGUAGAGGUAGGCGGAAUUCUGAGUGUAGCGGUGAAAUGCGUAGAUAUUCGGAGGAACACCAGUGGCGAAGGCGGCCUACUGGGCUUUAACUGACGCUGAGGCUCGAAAGUGUGGGGAGCAAACAGGAUUAGAUACCCCGGUAGUC
rnacentral:rRNA from 1 species